AUUGAACGCUGGCGGCAUGCCUAAUACAUGCAAGUCGAACGGAAGCAGCAAUGCUUUAGUGGCGAACGGGUGAGUAACACGUAGGGAACCUACCUAUACGACGAGGAUAACUACUGGAAACGGUAGCUAAAACUGGAUAGGAUCAAUUGAGGCAUCUUGAUUGAUUUAAAGAUCCUUCGGGAUUACGUAGAGAUGGCCCUGCGGCGCAUUAGCUAGUUGGUGAGGUAACGGCCCACCAAGGCGACGAUGCGUAGCUGAGCUGAGAGGCUAAACAGCCACACUGGGACUGAGACACGGCCCAGACUCCUACGGGAGGCAGCAGUAGGGAAUUUUCGGCAAUGGGGGAAACCCUGACCGAGCAAUGCCGCGUGAACGAUGAAGGUCUUCGGAUUGUAAAGCUCUUUCGGACGGAAAGAAAUCGCCGCCUCUAACAUAGGCGGUGGAUGACGGUACCGUAAGAAGAAGCACCGGCUAACUACGUGCCAGCAGCCGCGGUAAAU
rnacentral:rRNA from 1 species